rnacentral:rRNA from 1 species
UACGUAGGGGCAAGCGUUGUCCGGAAUCAUUGGGCGUAAAGCGCGUGUAGGCGGCUCAGUAAGUCCGCUCUGAAAGCCCGGGGCUUAACCCCGGGAGGCGGGUGGAUACUGCUGAGCUUGAGUCCGGAAGAGGCGAGUGGAAUUCCCGGUGUAGCGGUGAAAUGCGCAGAUAUCGGGAGGAACACCAAUGGCGAAGGCAGCCUCCUGGGCCAACACUGACGC